GAUGAAGAACGUAGCGAAAUGCGAUAAGUAAUGUGAAUUGCAGAAUUCAGUGAAUCAUCGAAUCUUUGAACGCACAUUGCGCCUGCCAGUAGUCUGGCGGGCAUGCCUGUUCGAGCGUCAUUUCAACCAUCAAGCCCCAGGCUUGUGUUGGGGACCUGCGGCUGCCGCAGGCCCUGAAAACCAGUGGCGGGCUCGCUGUCACACCGGGCGUAGUAGAUUUUAUCUCGCUCAGGGCGUGCUGCGGGUUCCGGCCGUUAAAAAGCCUUUUUUACCCAAGGUUGACCUCGGAUCAGGUAGGAAGACCCGCUGAACUUAAGCAUAUCAAUAAGCGGAGGA
rnacentral:misc_RNA from 1 species